ACGUCACGUUUAGUCAAAUUUACGUCAUCUCUGAAUUUGUCGCUCCAAAGAUGGAUUUUUUAAUGGAUAUUAUUGUUUUUAUGUCGCAUCCCGUAUCGAUAAAUGUAACUAUAAUGUCACCUUUCGUUGCAAUCCUUGGGUUAACACUUGUUCUUUGUAUCACAUAUGGUUUCUAUUAUUUUUAUCUUGCCCAGAUGGUACUACAGGACAAGCUUAUCAAGCAACACGAACAAGAGGAAGAAGAAUUAAAAAACAUUCUUAAAAAUUUGCCAAAUUGUGUUUAUCUUCCGGAAAUCAGUGGAUCAAUAACUAGUUUGUAUGAGAGUGCUGACGAUGACGACAAAUUUUCAGAGUCAUUCUGUUACUACAUGAAAAUGACGCCUAGUGAAUACUUUAGAAGAAACAUGGAAGAAUCGAACUAGAUAUAUAUUUCUUAUAUAAUUUUACUCUAUAUUUUACAUAAUGUAAUCUUUUUUUAUAUUAAAUAAACUAUAUUAGCUCUUAAAAACAUUCUCUUGAAAUAGAUGGACUUGUUCAGAA